rnacentral:lncRNA from 1 species
CAAAGCUCCAGGAAACUCGUCACUUAAAUUCUCGUUAAUUUCAUAACCCUUCAACAGGUGUUUCCCUAUAUAUGUGCUUGCGUGGGUGUUUAAAUAUUAUAUUAAGUUUCUUUAGUGUUGGUUGGGUUGUGAUUUUUUUAAAUUUUUUUGUGGUGUAUUGAUAUAUAAAUGUAAAUGAUUUUCGAUUAAACGUAGCAUCAACUUUGGGGUUUCUUGGAGAAUAGAAAUAGUUUUUAAUUACGAGUAGAACCUAUUGAUUUUAUUUUUUUCUUACUCGUUUUCCAAAUAUAAUUAAUUUUGGCCUGCAAAACAAUGGAGAUUUUAAUAACGACAGAGAGAUAGAAAAUACAAGUGUAAGGGAAUUUCCGUGAUUCACCGUGUUAAACAAAUUGCACAAUUAAUUCAUAAUAUUUUAUUUGGUGAAAUGAUGAACUAGAGCAUAGGCACAAGAAAUGUGGGUUGAGUUCAAUUUGUGCGAAGGUACUUUACAUCCCUAACUUAAACACUGGAUUUAUGCAUAUGCACACGAGUGUGCUUAAUCGAUGAUCUCUAUAACUUCUGAUUUGUAUCGCCUAUUCUUUCUAUCAAAUUCAUUGUUGUCAUCUUUGCUUCUCCUUUUCUUUUUAUUUUUUUGCUGGGUGGUUCUUAUAAGGAUACUAACUCCUUAAUGAUUAUUUUGAUUAGAUUAAAAAAAUUUGUAUUCAUGCGUUUCAUUUUUUAGCAGGAGUACAAAUAUUAUGUGAGAAGCGGAUGGUAGUUUAAUUCUCUUUAAGUAGCCAUCUUUCACUUCAUUUAGUAAUAUUUAUUUUUUACCAUACUUAUUGGUUGUUUGAUACUUUGAUUUUGAAAAGUUGUUUUCCUCUACUCUAUUCAGGUGAUGAAUUUCCGGUUUUCGAAUUUUCAAGAAUUCUUUUUCAUAUUCCAUUCAGAAGCUUUAAGGCAUUUUAUUUGUAAAAAAUGUGCAGGAAACAACAUUAAAUCAUUUAUGGAUGUCAGGCUUUUUGGUGAUGGUUUUGGAGUCACUCAUGGAAUGAUGAGAAAUAAUCUCAUUUGGGUUGUUUCAAGAAUGCAAGUUCAAGAGGAUUGAUCAUUGUCCGAUUUGGUAUUGAACUACACUAUAUUAACAUAUAUAUUCAAAUGACACUAGCAUUGAAUUUCUGAGGAAUAUGUGCAAUAGAAAAUAAACUGGAUAUUUUAACAUAAAAAAGAUUAAAUUUAGACAUUUGUUUCAUAACAGUGUUGUAUGUGUCAAUAGUGGUGAAGUAAUGGAGAUAGACACAUGGGUUGGAGCAAGGUUGGAGGCUUGGUCUUGUGGUAAGCAAUGGACUGAUAAGAAAGCUUGUAUUUUUUUUUCUGUUUUCUCAAACUCGAGCAGGAUAAAAGGGCUGAAAGAUUUACAUCAUUACCUGCAAAAGUUCCAUUAAAUGCUAUGGCUGAGUCUUACUCAUAAUAAGGAACUUCUGUGGAUAGAAACUGUUGAAUGCAUUAUGCUAUCAGGUCUUUGUAAUAUUUUGUGCAUACAUACUAUGAACAUAUUAAUUCUUGCUCUCUCUUUUAU